GACGAACGCUGGCGGCGUGCCUAAUACAUGCAAGUAGAACGCUGAAGGAGGAGCUUGCUUCUCCGGAUGAGUUGCGAACGGGUGAGUAACGCGUAGGUAACCUGCCUGGUAGCGGGGGAUAACUAUUGGAAACGAUAGCUAAUACCGCAUAAGAGUAGAUGUCGCAUGACAUUUGCUUAAAAGUUGCAACUGCACCACUACCAGAUGGACCUGCGUUGUAUUAGCUAGUUGGUGAGGUAACGGCUCACCAAGGCAACGAUACAUAGCCGACCUGAGAGGGUGAUCGGCCACACUGGGACUGAGACACGGCCCAGAGUCCUACGGGAGGCAGCAGUAGGGAAUCGUCGGCAAUGGACGGAAGUCUGACCGAGCAACGCCGCGUGAGUGAAGAAGGUUUUCGGAUCGUAAAGCUCGGUUGUAAGAGAAGAACGAGUGUGAGAGUGGAAAGUUCACACUGUGACGGUAUCUUACCAGAAAGGGACGGCUAACUACGUG
rnacentral:rRNA from 1 species